GAUGAACGCUGGCGGCGUGCUUAACACAUGCAAGUCGAACGAUGAACCGGGUGCUUGCACUCGGGGAUUAGUGGCGAACGGGUGAGUAACACGUGAGCAACCUGCCCCUGACUCUGGGAUAAGCGCUGGAAACGGCGUCUAAUACUGGAUAUGUCCCGUCACCGCAGGGGGUGCGGGUGGAAAGAUUUUUCGGUUGGGAUGGGCUCGCGGCCUAUCAGCUUGUUGGUGAGGUAAUGGCUCACCAAGGCGUCGACGGGUAGCCGGCCUGAGAGGGUGACCGGCCACACUGGGACUGAGACACGGCCCAGACUCCUACGGGAGGCAGCAGUGGGGAAUAUUGCACAAUGGGCGGAAGCCUGAUGCAGCAACGCCGCGUGAGGGAUGACGGCCUUCGGGUUGUAAACCUCUUUUAGCAGGGAAGAAGCGAGAGUGACGGUACCUGCAGAAAAAGCACCGGCUAACUACGUGCCAGCAGCCGCGGUAA
rnacentral:rRNA from 1 species